rnacentral:lncRNA from 1 species
CGCUUGCGGAUCAAUUCCUGAUGGCCUUACCAAAUAUCAACAAGCAUUUCGGGCGCCGUUGCCGGGGAGAAAGACGGUUUGCUGAGAUAACUUUAAGUCUUGCUAUUAUCUUGUAUUACACUUUUAUACUUUUAUUCUUUUAUCUUUUUAUUUUUUCCAUCUUUAUUGAUAACUCAAAUUCCACACCUAUUAUUAAAUUUUUUGCACCUUCAGAGACCAGCCAUAGACCAUGGGAGUCAACAAGUCCUUUCUUUGCCCCUAAUUAAACUGUGUCCGGAGUUGAUUGCAAUAGGUCAAAUCCAACACUUUUCUAUAGCUGAGGUCCUAUCUUUUAAUCAAGAAGAUAAUGAACUUUUAGCUACACCUAGGGAAUCUAUUAAUCUUUCUAUAAAUUCUGGUUUAAACCUAGCCCUACAAGACCAUG